UACAGAGGGGGCGAGCGUUGUUCGGAAUUACUGGGCGUAAAGGGCGCGUAGGCGGCCUUCUAAGUCGAACGUGAAAUCCCCGGGCUCAACCCGGGAACUGCGUCCGAUACUGGGAGGCUUGAAUCCGGGAGAGGGAUGUGGAAUUCCAGGUGUAGCGGUGAAAUGCGUAGAUAUCGGGAAGAACACCCGUGGCGAAGGCGGUUCUCUGGGACGGUACUGACGCUGAGACGCGAAAGCGUGGGGAGCGAACAGG
rnacentral:rRNA from 1 species